UGGAUCGGUGAUGACUCCCCGUGGCGUAUGAGUUGCACAAUGACUGCGUGUCUGGAACUCUGAGAUCCAA
rnacentral:snoRNA from 1 species